CUUCAGUCCCUUUCUUAACUAAUCCUGUCACUGUAAAAUCCUACAGUCAUUCUUCCACACAUAAAGGGAAAACGGACUCACUAGGAGGACCUAGACUCUUUCAGCUUGAACUGUUAACCAAUGGUGGAAAUGCAAGAAUGCUGAAGUUGUGCCUUCAGAGCCAAUAGAGUGGAUUUGUGUGUCCCACAUGACUGUGUUUCCCCUGUCUUUCACAUGGGCAGUAUUUAGUUCAAUUCAGAACUGCAGAUAGUAUAGCACGCAGAGCAGCAAUGGGAUGUCUGAGCACAAGUGGCUGACUUCCAGGCGACUUCAAGAAGCACAUUUGCACAUUUAUCCUGAAUUAAACUGGAAUUCUGCACCCUUGACAUCCUCCUACUCUCCUGGUGUCUGCGGAAGGAAACAGCGACCUGCACAGCACAACAAAACUACAAAUCAUCAGUGAUCUACAGACAAGCAAACGAAGUGAGCUGAGGGCAAUUUAACUACCGCCUUCUGUGUCAGUUCCCCAGAAGUCAAUGAGGCAUACUAUCGGGUCUCCAAGAGGAACAUCCAGGUGCCAGCUGGUGGAAAGGCAGAUGCCACUGAUUCCAAUAGUCUUGCACCAGUUUACAUUGACAGAGUCUGAUCCUAUGUGCAUUAGAGUUACUUUUAGGCACUCACACUGGAACUCACUUCAGUGACAAUUAAAAAUAUAUCCACGCAUGACAUUACAUCCUGUCCCCAAGUGUAUGACUGGAAGCCUGUUGACAGUCUGUGGGAGAGGGCAAGUAGAAGUAGCCAAGAACUAUGUCCAUGAGAUAACUUUGUAAGAGGAGUAUUAACCCUAAUUUUCAGUUGUCUUUUUUUUUUUUUUUUAAUGUGACCGUUUGCCUACAGAAAAAAAAUCUCAGCUCCACCUUGCAGUAGCAAUUCAAUGCUUGCAAAGGAAAAAACAAAAUAAACCAUGAUGCUGUAGACCGUGUAGAGUGUCUAAGUAAGUUAAAAAAAGACUGGUCUCAUCAUCUAGAAUUGUAAGAAACCCCCCGAACUGAGAUCUGUUUGUUCAACUAUUUGUUCCUGAAGAUGCAGCUCAUGUAGCAACUGAAGUAAUUGUUUGUCUGUACAGCGCAACACCCAUAACUCCAAUUUAGGUCAGGCCAUCAAGAAGAGGAAAAAGGACUGAAGAUGAGAUGCUCUACUUCACACAGUUGCCCUCUGGAAGGGCUGGCAAAGGCAGUCACUUAAAUUAAGUACAGGUCAUCAGACAGGAUAUCUAAUCUAUUCCUAAAACAGGCAGCUCUCGCAGUCCAAAUCCCUAUGGCCUUUACAGCAACACAACGAACUACUUCCUCAUGUACCUCUGUCAAUUCACGUUAGGUUCCUAUUUUUUUUUAAAGCGAUAUUUCUUGUACACCAUGACCCUAUUGCUCACAGCAAGGAAAGUGCUUUGGUUUAUUUAUGACCUACUAACCUUAAAUAAAAAAACCAUACAUCCAAUCUGAAUGUUCACAUAAGCCUGCAGAUCUGAAAUAAAACUUAAAGUAAAGCUGGCAUUUGUAAUAGCUAGCUAAGCCCAGUAAGGGAUUUAGAAAAAAAAUUAAAAUUAAAACCAGAUGAGAGAAGAUGAAAGCAUUUUUACCCUGCAUAACCUGCACACAUCAUGAAUGAUGGCUGAAGCUCAGGAAUACUUUUUUGUGUUUUUGUACUUACAAGUUUCAACCCACUUCAACAGCGGCUAGGUAACCAAGGAAAUACUGAGGUUUUCCCAUUACAGGGUGGGGAGGGAAUAAUAAUAACCCAUGAAAGUAAUUCCUUUUAAGAUGCAAUCCAUCCAGCCACGAGCUCUACACAGCUCCUCUCUUUCCCUUACACCCCAUCCUAACUGCCAGGUAUCAGUCUGGUCAGACCUCAUAUUGAAAUAUGAUGUGACAGAGGGAAGCAGGGAGUAAGACUGUAGGAAUAAGUACUGAAAGAAAUGGCAUAAAGAAGGAAAGUUUACAGCAGGGAAUAUGGGAAACACAAGUGACCCUAUAUAUGUUUUGCUAGAACAAUGCUGAACAGAUGCAAAUGCAGAAAAGACUAUUCAGUUGAAGAGUUUUAUUCUCUCAUAGCUCACCCUGAUCUAAAGAACACCCUUCCUCUACAUCCAUAGAGUUUAAUUGUGAUACGGUCAGUACAAAUAAGUGGGGAAAAAAAAGGAAAAAUAAAAAUCAAGCUUCAGACCUAAGAUAUCAGCAACAAACAACUCUUGCUGCUGAACCAGCAUCAAAUAAAGGGAGGAGAGAACAUCUCCACCACAGUUGGUUGGAACUAGAACUCACAGAUACUCAUGAUCACAGUGGAAUUCCUAAACAAAAGAAAAAAUCUACUAGAAAGGAGAAAUUAUUUACGUUCCAUUCUUCUGUAGUUCUCCAGCAGGGUAUAUUAAUGCCUCUGUUCUUUAGAUAUAUUUGAUAGAAAUACAGUUAUCUGUACAAGAAGAGUAAUUUGUUGAAAGAAAUAGAUACAAAGUUCUUGACACAGCAUUUGUUUAAAAAAGAAUAUACGCAGGCAGUAUAUUUAUGACCUGAAGUCUUUUGGUGCUACCUCCCUUUAUGGUACUUUAAACAAAAUGAACAGAAAAUAUUUUAUAAAUAUUUUUAUUUAAAUGUAGAAAUCAAUGAGAGAGUACAAACUAGCUUGCCCUCUGGUAAAAGAUUUAACAAGUAGGAACUCCUAGAAUCCAAUGAAUCACUUACCAUUUCAGUGCAGCAAACUAAGAGCAGCCCUAACUAAAUGAACUGAGACCAACAAAGCUGCAAGAGAACAACCUUCUGCAGGAGAAUUGCUAACAAGCACAAAAAGACAUGUGAGAAGCUGCCAGCUCCAUGCAUGAAGAAGGAAAUGGGAUAGACAGAGAAGGGUGCUGGUACUGACAUUUAAGGAUGCUGUCAAGUCAAUGGAGUUCUCUUGUAGUGGUUGCUUCAGUGAACAUUCAACGCUGUCGGCCUUCACACCGAAGAUAGAAACCUAACCAGCACAUGAGGUUUCUCCCCUACUCUGCCACGCUUUACAAAAAAGGUCACAAUCAACAUUCAUUGCUGUCGGUGGGUUUAACUAUGUGGACAAGCUCACUGAACAAUGAAUGCAACUGUGGCCCCACAUUUUACAGGUGCAUUUGGGAGGAAUGUCAGCUCUGAAAGGAAUAGUGAGAAACAGACAUUUCUUAUAGGUUACGUUUUUCUGGUCAAAAAUUUGUUAAGGAUAUUCAAUUAACUCUUCUUUGUUAUUAAAUGUAUUUAACUAUGUUGACUAAAAAAAAAGCACUGCAUUUUUCUGGAAUAUCACCCUCACAGGGUUCAGCACCUCUGAAACUGAAAUAAUGCUUGUUCAGUAUGUAUGUGGAAAAAAGUAAUAAUAUAGAGAACUUGGUAUAUAUGUACUCCUCAGGACUAUGCAUAAGAGGAAAGAGUAUUUAAAUGUUAAAUCUUAAUUAACUAGGUAUUAUGGAAUAGUUUACAGAAGUCUCUUCUAUACUUGUCAAGACAAAACCAGAACUUUUCUAGUGGACAGGUAACAGAAAUAGAUGUAUACCCACUAUCAAAUAGUUAAAUCGUAAAAUUACUCUAAACUUUGGGUACUUGUGUCACACUCAGUAUUGCUAACACUAAUGAAAAAAUAAAAGUGUAAUUAAAGCUCACUGUUCUGUCCUUAUUUUCUUACAACCUUUGUUUAACCCAGCUGGAAAAAACAGAGCCCAGCCUACAUUUCUACCUUUCAGAAGUCAUCCAAGGUAAGUGCAAGCCUUCACACAGCACAGUUUCAAUAUUCUGCAGUAGAGUUGCUUCUAACAUUUAGGAAAUCACACGACGUUCCUAGUUUCUCCUGAUAGACCCUCUUAAAAGCUGGGGUCUGUUAACAAUACUUCAGUUUGAUUAUUUACACAGUAACUUCAGCACCACUGUUAUGCAGUUGUCUAGCUCACUGUCCUUGCUUGUUGUAUGCAGUUUUUCAUCACAUGACAAAGGAAUAGGAUACAACCAUCAGGGCUAUCAUGGGAGGAAACAUCUGUACCUGCUUUGUGAACCGUAUAUUAACAGCCUAGCUAAAUAAUAACAGUUUAAGUAAUCAAAGAGAUCAGUCCUCAAUCACAUGCAAGAUUAUAUUUGAAUAACUGAAUUUUUAAUGAAAAGAGAGGCACACUACUGAAUUAAAAUCAGUGGCUGAAAGAAGUGUGUUGUUUUUUUUCAUUCUGAUAUUUACUACCAAAUAAUCUACAGAAUGUACUGAGGCCAGGGGCAGCAGUUAAGUACUAAUAGGAGGAGUGGCUAUGGAUACGUGACUUCUCAGUGACAUUGCAUAGAGAACCCUAGGUUCUAUCUUAAAGUUCACUCGUUUCUACACAGCAAUGAGUACUUGAAUAACUAUCAAAUUAUAUAUAUGGAUCACAAUACAAGCAAGUUAUAUAUUCUAUCUAGAAGGACAAACUUACAUGUUCAGUUGCAGCUACUUCAUACUUGCCUAAUUUCUGCACUUAUUACUUUUACUAAUGUGACUUAUAAUUGUGUUAUGCAUUAAUAAACACUGAAGAUGUUACUGAAGUUUGUGGAAUUAAGCAGCAGUGGAAAGAACCAGCAUCCUAGCAUGUUAUCACCUUCAAGCACAACAGAAGAAAAUACAAAAAUAAACCAUACUGCAACUGAUAAUGGUUGAACAAUACAAUUGUUGUAGGGACACAGGAUCCAGUGCAAGAAAAAGGUUAGUUAUAGGGUAGGAGGGAAGGUGAGGGGUUGAUGGCACUCUCUCAAAAUGCACAGAUGUUUUACCUUUUAGAAAAUAUCUACAGUAAUAUUGUUGCCUUGCGUAAGUUGUGUCAGUGAUUUUAAUCAUAGAAUCGCUAAGGUUGGAAAAGACCCACAGGAUCAUCCAGUCCAACCAUUCGCCCUUCACCAAUGGUGCUCACUAAACCAGGUCCCUCAACACAACAUCCAAUCACUCUUUGAACACCACCAGGGUCGGUGACUCCAUCACCUCUCUGGGCAGCCCAUUCCAGUGCCUGACCACCCUUUCAGAGAAGUAGUAUUUCCUAACGUCCAGCCUGAACCUUCCAUGGCGCAGCUUAAAGCCAUUGAAGCCAUAAUCACGCUUUCAUAUCAAGAUUAAGAAUCUCCAUAGUGUACAAAUACACAUUAUUUCAUACAGCUUGAUAAUUUUAUAUCUCCAUUAAUUUACAGGAUGCUCAUGGGCAAAGCAAUACCACACCUGAUAAGAGAGACUGCUUUUCACACACAUCCUUUACAUAAUGAAGCAAAAGUGAUCCCCAUUCAGCAACAGUAGCUGUGAAACUGAAGUUCCUUGGUCAUUUUCAGGGUUGUUAGUUUUUGUUGUUGUUGUUAAUAUGAUACAUCCAUGCUCAAUACAGUAUCCGUGGGCUACAGAGACCUUCCAGAAAAUUGCUCCUUGGUAUCACUGUAAAUAAUUCACUCACAACAAUAUUUUUAGGUCUAGCAUAUCAAAAUUACAGGAAAUGUAAUGGACCUUGACAUAAUAGGAGCACUAGUUUCAAAGCAGUGAAGGAGGAGGAGAAGGAACAUACUUUCCACACACAGCUCAGUCACAGUUUCCCAGUGUCCAUAAUACUGUGCUUGAAACAGGAGAGGCAGUACCAAGUGGUUGCUGCUAAGUUUGGAGUCACUGAGGUUUUACUUAACUCCAGACAUAGUUCUGUUUUUCCUGACUUCUGGAGCAAAAUGGGUGAAAGCAGUUCAGAUCCAGCAGUUUCUGCGUCAAGCCUCUAACUCCUGUUUACCAAGCACAGAAAGACAUUCCAUCUUACCUUUCAAACUACAACACAAUGAAUACCUAUGAAAACCAUACGUGAUUCAGGACUACAGCAAAAUGAAAACAUUACACUGUCCAGAGCAGACUAAAAACACCACAAUAACAUUUCUUGCUUUACAGAUGGUAAAGAGAAGAAAUACAGUAGAAGUUAAAUAUAGAAAUAGUUUGUAUCUGUAUGUAGUAGUCUGAACUGGAAGUAGUAUCUAGAUCUUGCAUUCGAGCCAUGCGUCUUACACUGGAAGAAGCAGUAUUGUAAUUUUGACAUGAAAACCGUAUUUUCCUUCUUGCUGAUCGCCCCUUUUUCCUAAUCAAAUGAUAUUUAUUUUUCUCUCUAGAGUUAUCAUCCACUCCAGAUUAAUAUCUGUAUCUUGCCCUCACUUUCUUCUAUUCUUCUGUAUAAUUCUCUUAACUUCUUCAAAAAAAAAUUAGUCUUCCUGAGCUUCCUCUUUUAGCACAAGUGCCAGAAAUGCAGACUGUGUUCCAAAUAGCCCAGCCAAAGCUAGCUGAAGUAGUCUGAUGUCUCCCUAUUUUACAAGGAACUGCUGAUCAUUUUCAGCCAAAAAUAGCAUUUGUAAUGGCACCACACAGUUAACACAUUUAAAUUUAUCUAACUUUAUUCCACAGAUAUAUUAGUGUCCACAAGUUUUUUCCUAAUUUGAAGUAGGUUAUUUCAUCCCCCUGAAAUGCAACACUUGCCAUUUUUUUUAAUCUAUUACGUAAUUUCUGCAACAUCUAUUGAUUACAGCAUCGUGGUCAUAUUUUCACAGGAAUUAAUUAGAGACUUCUUGUAGGUUUACAUCUGAAAAAAAUACAUCUGAAAAAAUAUAAGGAAAGAUCCAGGGGUAGGAGCUCCAACCCACAGAAGCCAUGAAUUACAACAGAAAUUUUGUCUAUACUUGACAAGUAAAUCAGAACUGAAUCCCCUAGCUCUGCAGCCAGAGCCAGAACACGCAUAUACAACACAUAGACUUUUCCUGGUUUUGUUCCAUGAGAUACAGUAGCGCCCAAGCUAGCCCUAAUAUUUUUUUUUAUUGUUUUAAUAAAAGAAUUACCUAUCAAGUUUGUAAAUAGGCUAUCAUGAGACCUGAAAGUGUAACUUAUUGUGCAGUGUCUUUUUGUUUGUUCGUUUUCAUUAUUCUCUAUUAGAAAUGUUACUCUAGGUCUUGACAAUGAAAAGACAAGUCCAAAACGGACCAGAUACCGCAGUUGUAUGAUACCACAGUUCAGAACAGAACUGGCAAAGAGGCAAGGUACCUGGAAAAUAGCAUUCUCUUGGCCAUUAAGAUAGGAGAACUUGCACUCAAAAUAAACUGCAGUAUAUAUACGCUAUUUAAACUGUGAUAUCACCUGUAAUUAAUGGCAAGCUACUGCAAUAAUCACAUGCUAUUAAGCUAUUUGAUUGCCUGGAAAUGCUAUUUAGUAAUUAAACAGUUAAAAUACUUUAUCAUAGACUUUUUGAAACACUGAAGCAAAAAAAAAGAUACACAAAUAUUAAUUUUAGCUAGCAGGAGAUGAGUCCAGGUGGUUGCCCUCUAAAGUCAACAUCACCAUCUGAUGUGUAAAACACUCCUAAUUAACAUAAAGUACACCCUGUGCUAAUUAUUGUGCUCGCCUCCAAAUAAUGAGCCAUAACAAGCCUAGAGUUCAAGAUGAUAUAUUUACAUUUAAAUGCCAUGCACUUCACCAUCCUGUAUCAAUAUGGCCCUGGUUAACACACUGACAAAAAAAUGAAAUUACUGCCCCCACCGCCCUGCAGACUAGGGAAGCACAAACAGCUAAACAGAUACUAGAACUAAAAGAACUUUCAGACAGACCUUCAGGUUGUAAUUGUGGAAGGCAACAGGGAAAAGCAGUGCUUCAAAGAUAGUGGCCAGCUGUGGUCUACAGAACAUCGUAAGCAAAGUGGAGUCUCUUCAGGAAGAUAUCCAUACAUCUCCAAAACAAUUUCGGGAGAAUAUUCCAGAAGUUCACAUGGAUUGUGGUUUGCUAACUAGUGAAUUCAGGUUCUCCGCUGGUUUUAGUCAGCAUACUUUUGAUUUCAGUGGAAUUACACCACUAUAUACAGUGUGAGGGUUUGACAAACAAACAUGCAAGGGAUAUAAAAGCAGCACAGUCCUGCACAUCCUACACUAGAAAUGCAGUCAGAGGUAAAAGUCACUCUUUGGAAGAAGGGAGGGAAGCAAAAGAACAGAUAUUUGAAAAGCAAUCACUCCUACCUACAGAAAGAGCAUUUCUACCUGCUGUGGGUGGUCGUGGACACAGCACUUGGACACCUAACUCCUCCAUUCUUGCAGGUUACAGUUUUGCAGGUACAAAUACAGAAUUUCAAAACACAACAUGCAUAGAGUAUUUUGGGGCAGAAAUAUAACACCCACGUUAUGAUAAUUUGGCCUUUGCCACCACAUGACGGUCUCCUUCACUUCAUGUAUCUUGAGGUACGUGGGUGGCAAAGAACUGACAGCAUAUUUUUGUCUAAAGAUGGCUCCCACAGCACGAGUGUACAUACUGGAAGCAAUGGCAGUUUGUUUCCUUCCUCCCUUAAUACUGUGCUCUUUACUUGAGUUUCCAUCAUUUCUAUACAGAGCUAGUAACACUAAACCAUUCACCGAGGAGAGGGUUAAAAAAAGCCAAAGCAAAAAAAAAAAAAAAUCACCGAGUCUUCAAAUUAUUCUCUGUCACAAUAUCCAGAUUUUAUGAAUCCUGAACCAUCUCCUCAGGGUGCCUAGCAGCACCUUUCUCUGGCCUAGAACUAAGCUCUGACUUCAGAUUUGUAUCAGCCUUUACAAGAGACGAUCAUUUUCAGCAAAGUUUCAGGCACUGCAGAUUUAUGUACAAAGACUUCUAACUGCUGCCUGGAUGUGCCUUCUGGAACCAGAAAACACACAUCAAGAGUAAGAUGAGCAAGCCACAGGUUUGUUCAAAUGAAUACCAAAAACUGACUGUUAAGAGUCAAUUAAAAAAAAAUACUGAAAAUAUUGAACUUUUCUCUGCUUCCUCUGUAUUGCUAUUCCAACUAGAUCCUACACCACCCAUCCUAUCAACAUCUUCAUGGAUGCACACAGGUAGCUAAGACACUCCAUAUCUUAAAAAGAAAACCUAGAGGUUUUCUUUCUCCUUAAAGAGACUUAUCUGUGUGGAAACCUCACUUCUUUAAACCUUGUACUGAGAUUCUGGGGAGUGCUACUGCAUCUAUUGCUAAUAAUCCAAGCCUGUGGCAUGCAUACCCACAAGGGUAUUUUUAGCUAGAUUCUAGGUGCAUACCUUUGCAACUGAUUUCGAGUUCCAUUAACAUCUAGAACUAGUGGCUCUUCUCUACUUUGAUGAGGAAAAUAAACUAUGUUCCAGCUGAAAGCGGGACUUGGAUCCCCAAAUCAAUAAGACUACAUUAGUAGUUUGUCACAUUGGAGCCCAUAGGGCACUUGUGCUCACUAUUCUCCAAACAAGAUGAAGUUUUAACAGGCUCACCUAAUUUGUUGAGCAAUAUAGUUGGAAUCCCUGCAUUAUGAAUAAAAGAAACUGGUAGGUUGCUAGGCUGAUGACAGGUCGUACAGCCUUUUCUUGACAGAAGAUACAACAGUCAACAGUGUACAACUGAACCUGUACAGAGCCUGUACAGCCUGUUACAGAGCCUGUAACUUCCAAGCACAAAACACCGCAAUAUGUGCUUAAAAGCACAAAAAGGGUUUAUGUUCACUUCUAAAUUGUUGGCUGCUACAUGUUGUCAUCUCUUUUUAAAGGUUGCUCACUAGCUGCAUUCCAAGUUUUCACAUAUGUAUGAUUUCCUUCAGCUACAAGUGUAAAUUUGCAAGCAAUGGGAACAUGAGUGCAGUCACUGUCUGAUGGAAUCUGCAUAGAAGGUAAAGCUGUCACCAGAUGGCAUUUCUGAGUUUUGUGCAGCCAGAUAUUCAAAAGCAGCAUCUGAAUUCUGGAUGCUACACUGUUGUUUUUGUGGGGUUUUUUUGUUUGUUUGUUGUUGUUUUAAUUUAUUGUGGAUACUCUGAAUCAGCAUCUGCUCCUGCAAUUAUC
ensembl:lncRNA